rnacentral:lncRNA from 1 species
AUGUAUAAUAGCUGCCCACUGCUCCUUAUACUAGGAUUUCACUGUGUGCUGUGUACAUGUGUGACGAUUAAAGGAGGAUUCAACAUCCACCAUUUCCAUUUCGGGAUGACACAACAAUUCAAUUAUCAUCAUCUUUUGUUCUACAGAAACACGUAGAUCAACCUUGUAUCCAUAGCUUGCUGCACUUGUUUUACGUCAAUAACGUGCGUAACCUUUAAGAACGGGCGUGACUUCCUGGUUUGUUCGCAGCCUCACUGCAGCUCAAUGCGGAAGACAAACAGGGAUCUCAGAACCCCACGCACAAUCUGAAGCAAGUUUUCUGAGGAUUUUGUGUGAGACCUGAAGUGUUUAAAAACAUAACCAUGUGGCCAAAUCAAGGUCCUCCCCCUCCAGUGGGUCCACCAAACCCUGCUUUCCCUCCUAACUACAACCCUGCUUUUCCUGUUGCACCUCCAUCAGGAGGACUUUUUCCCCAACCUGCACUUCCAGCAUACCCAGGUGGGCAAUAUCCAGCUGGGCAAUACCCAGGUGGCAUGAACCCAGCCAUGGUACCAAAUGUACAUCCAGGGGCGAUGCCUUAUGGAGCUCUGGGACCUCAUCCUUAUCCUGUGGCUCCAGGUGGAUAUCCAGGAGUCCCUACUGCAGGUGUUCACCCAGGUCCAUACCCGCACUCUCCAAAAGGGUGUCACCAAAAAGGCCAUAAAGGCCACAAAGGUGACCACAAAGGUCAUCAUCAUCAUGGAGGCUUGAAUCCCAUGGCUGGAGCAUGCGCCGGUGGACUGGCUGGAAUGGGAAUGGGAAUGGUCGGACAUAAGGGCCACAAAAAGAUGAAGAAGAUGAAAAAAAUGAAGAAAGCACAUAAGGGGAGCAAACACGGCAAGUCCUCGAGUAGUAGCAGCAGCAGCAGCAGUAGCAGCAGCAGCAGUGACUAAGCUUGAGGCCACCACAACAAGACAAAGCUUUCACAGAAAUGUCGCUUUACAAAAGGACCAUUAACAAUAAACACACAAAAUAAAUCUUGCAUGGGCUAUUUAUACUAGCAAUGCAUACAUAAGGUGUUACUGUACACAUUUGGCUGCAUUCCAUCAUGUCUUAAAUCUCCUUUUCUUUGGUUUGUAGUGUUUAUGUCAAAUGUUCCAUUGUUAUGGCUUCUGUAUUAUUGUAAAAAAUACACUACAAAUACCUGUGUGUGUGUGUGUGUGUGUGUGUGUGUGUACAAACACAUUAAAAUAAUAUAAGUCCAGCAAGCAAUGAUUUAAAAAAAAAAAAUAAUCUAACAUUGUGAUUUAGUAAAAGAAAAAUGUAUUUGUGUUUUUUUUUAAUUUUUUAGUGAAAAUAAUGAAUAAUGAAAUAAUGAAAAAGAUGCUGAAUGUUUUUAUGUGCAAACAAAUGUUUAGAAAUAAUGUAUUCUGCAAGGCUUUGUAUCUGCAAUAAUUGUAAUUAUAUAUAUAUAUAUAAAUGGUCUUCAAUUAAACCUGCUCAAUAAAUAUAUUUAAAGCAGAAGUCUAAUAUGUGUGUGUUCCCCAAGAUGAUAAAUAAUUGAAGUUAUAAAAUGAGUUGCAAUACACUUUGCGCCCACUAGUGUCCCUAUAAAUAAAUAUUUUAUUGAAGUUUGUAAAUAUGAACAUAAGAAACAUUGGUAAAGCAUAGG